UAGCUCUUUUCAUUACAGACAGAAUCUCAAGGUGCUUGUUAAGCAAAAUAAUCAACAAAAAGUAAGUUAAAAAGAAAUAGGCUAAAACAGUAGCAAGAUCAGCUAGUUUGAGUGGUUCUAGAUCAGCUAGUUUGAGUGGCUCUAGAUCAGCUAGUUUGAGUGGUUAUAGAUCAGCUAGCUUGAGUGGUUAUAGAUCAGCUAGCUUGAGUGGUUAUAGAUCAGCUAGCUUGAGUGGAUCUAGAUCAGCUAGUUUGAGUGGUUCUAGAUCAGCUAGUUUGAGUGGUUCUAGAUCAGCUAGCUUGAGUGGUUAUAGAUCAGCUAGCUUGAGUGGUUAUUGAUCAGCUAGCUUGAGUGGAUCUAGAUCAGCUAGUUUGAGUGGCUCUAGAUCAGCUAGUUUGAGUGGCUCUAGAUCAGCUAGUUUGAGUGGUUCUAGAUCAGCUAGUUUGAGUGGUUCUAGAUCAGCUAGUUUGAGUGGUUCUAGAUCAGCUAGAUUGAGUGGUAAUAGUUCAGCUAGCUUGAGUGGUUAUUGAUCAGCUAGCUUGAGUGGAUCUAGAUCAGCUAGUUUGAGUGGCUCUAGAUCAGCUAGUUUGAGUGGCUCUAGAUCAGCUAGUUUGAGUGGUUCUAGAUCAGCUAGUUUGAGUGGUUCUAGAUCAGCUAGUUUGAGUGGUUAUAGAUCAGCUAGCUUGAGUGGUUAUAGAUCAGCUAGCUUGAGUGGAUCUAGAUCAGCUAGUUUGAGUGGCUCUAGAUCAGCUAGUUUGAGUGGUUCUAGAUCAGCUAGUUUGAGUGGUUCUAGAUCAGCUAGUUUGAGUGGUUCUAGAUCAGCUAGUUUGAGUGGUUCUAGAUCAGCUAGUUUGAGUGGUUCUAGAUCAGCUAGUUUGAGUGGUUAUAGAUCAGCUAGCUUGAGUGGUUAUAGAUCAGCUAGCUUGAGUGGUUAUAGAUCAGCUAGCUUGAGUGGUUAUAGAUCAGUUAGCUUGA